CCUAAUGUCUCAUACCACGUUGAAAGUACCAGUUCUCGUCCGAUCACUGAAGAAAAGCAACGUCGGGCUUGGUUAGUAACCUGUAUUUGGAUGGGUGACCGCCAGGGCACUCUGAGUGCUGUACGGG
rnacentral:rRNA from 1 species